rnacentral:rRNA from 1 species
CCUACGGGGGACUGCAGUGAGGAAUAUUGGUCAAUGGGCGGAAGCCUGAACCAGCCAAGUCGCGUGAGGGAAUAAGGCCCUACGGGUCGUAAACCUCUUUUGCCGGGGAGCAAGGGCCGGGACGCGUCCCGGCCCGGAGAGUACCCGGAGAAAAAGCAUCGCCUAACUCCGUGCCAGCAGCCGCGGUAAUACGGAGGAUGCGGGCGUUAUCCGGAUUUAUUGGGUUUAAAGGGAGCGUAGAUGGGUUGUUAAGUCAGUUGUGAAAGUCUGCGGCUCAACCGUAAAAUUGCAAUUGAUACUGGCAGUCUUGAGUACAGUUGAGGUAGGCGGAAUUCGUGGUGUAGCGGUGAAAUGCUUAGAUAUCACGAAGAACCCCGAUUGCGAAGGCAGCUUACUAGACUGUGACUGACAUUGAUGCUCGAAAGUGUGGGUAUCAAACAGGAUUAGAUACCCUAGUAGUC